rnacentral:rRNA from 1 species
CCUACGGGAGGCAGCAGUGAGGAAUAUUGGUCAAUGGCCGGAAGUCUGAACCAGCCAAGCCGCGUGAAGGACGAAGGUCCUACGCGUUGUAAACUUCUUUUGUCAAGGGACAAAAUCAGGCACGUGAGCCUGACCGAGGGUACCCUAUGAACAAGCAUCGGCUAACUCCGUGCCAGCAGCCGCGGUAAUACGGAGGAUGCGAGCGUUAUCCGGAUUUAUUGGGUUUAAAGGGUGGGUCGGCGGUCGGUUAAGUCCGUGGUAAAAGUUCGGGGCUCAACCCCGGCGUGCCGUUGAAACUGGGAGUCUGGAGAGGACGAGAGGUAGGCGGAAUGUGCGGUGUAGCGGUGAAAUGCUUAGAUAUCGCGCAGAACUCCGAUUGCGAAGGCAGCAUACCGGAGGGGAACUGACGCUGAGGCACGAAAGUGUGGGUAUCGAACAGGAUUAGAUACCCUAGUAGUC